rnacentral:lncRNA from 1 species
GGAACUUAUUGGGGCCAGCCGGCAACUAAAUGCCACGCUGAUCCCAGGAGAUAGCCAACUGAGGUUUUUUCACAGAAGUCUAUUUAGAAGCCUGCGACAGACUGCCCUGCCAGCGUCUCCACUUACCUAGGGCAAAGCACUGGUGGCUCCAUCAGAUCAGGUUUGGAAUCACACAUCAGCUGGAGGAUAAAGCUCCCCACUGUAUUUAGUGGCAGACACCUUCUAAAGACAAAUACCUCUUCGGCUACAGAGACGAUGCCUUGCCAGCGACUCUCGUCCCUGACGGCUGAUUAUCACACCAUGGGAGCAGCUCAGGUUCCUCUGUGUAUCUGUUUCCUGAAUACCGUCUCCUUCUAUAAAACACUGGCAGGGUGAGUACUUCACCUCCCUUCUCCUUUAGAAAGCAUGGAUGCCGUUCAAAUGAUGGCCUGGGAUAAAGGGGAGACAGGCUGCUGCUUUAAAGAUGGAAUGCCUAGCCUUCCUAAUGAGAAAUACUUCUCAUUCUUUUGCUUCAGAUUGCUACCACUCACAUUCCUGUAGCAGAGUCCCUUCACUUUGCAGAGCGAAACCCUUUCCCUUACUGUAUGAGUAGCAUAUGUGUGUACAGACAGUGUGUGUACUUGGGGAAGCAAGAAGUUGCCUGUGGGUAUCCUUCUCUAUUGCUCUCUCCAUUAGUAACUAAUGGCGUAACCAGGAAUGGAGGUGGGUGAUACCUUUAAUCCCAGUACUUGGAAGGCAAAGGCUUAACAUCAGCCUGCUGAGCUCCACGACAGUCAGGACUACACAGAGAAACCCUAUCUUGAAAACACAAAACCCAAAAGCUUAUGUGUACAUGCAUGUGCAUAUCUACGUGUUCUGAUGCCCAUGGAGAAGAAGCAUCAGACCGUUUGGAGCUGGGAGCCUCCUGUUGGUGCUAGGGUCUGGACUUUGCUCCCUCUCAUAGAGCAGAAAGCUUUUCACUCCUGAUUUGGCUGUCUAGGCCCUCUACUUUUGCUGUUGUUGUUGGGGUAAGGUCUUUUAAUGAACCUGGAGUCUGCCAUGUUGGCUACCCUGGCUGGGCAGCAAGCUUCAGAAGUCUGUCUGCCUCCCCAGAGCUGGGCUAUAGGUGCACACUCUUCACACCCAGCUUUCUCUGUCGGAGGCAGUGCAGGUCCUCAUGUGUGUCCAGCUUCACUUACUAAGACACCUAUCUCCCCGACUCCAAACCCCACUGAUCUCUUUUUAAUAAGGCUAGCUGUCACCCUCCUCUAUUGAGUUCUGUCCUCUUCUGGUUUUACCAUUUAAGGAAAGCUGCCUCCACUCGGGAAAUCUGUGGUGUUUAUAAUUUUCUCUCUCUCUCUCUCUCUCUCUUAUGAUUUUGAUCAAGUUUUUAAACUUUUCUUUGUUAACAUCGAUGUUUUAUUUUCUAAUCCACACUUUUUCUCUCUCUCUGCAGUUUCUUAAACUUCAUUUGGUCGGUGUCACUGUUAUCCAAUAGAGACCACAACCACCGGUUCAUUUUGCACAGGCCACUGAGCAGUCAUAAGAUGGUGACAAACUUUGGGUCUUUAGUGACCUGGACUGGAUUCGACUCACUGACCUAGAGGUGAAAGGCUCUGUAUUUCAUUACUAAUCCCUUGAGCCAUCCAGCCCCCUGAAAAUGAUUCUUUGGUUUUAUUAUUGCAAAGACCAUUUAUAAAAUCAUGGACUGGAUUUAGGAAAGCAACCAUGAAAUAGCAAGGGACAACAAAAUUGAUUGAAAUUUCUUAAAUGUUGUGUGGGCUGGAGACUCCCAGGAGGAGGGGAAGAAGUUCUAUAUGGGUAUCUCCUUUCUUGCUCCACGAGUGCGACCUGCUCACUUAGACAUGGCAACUUCAGAUCCACAGACCAUGCCUCAGGGAGCUAAUUCCUAAAUAAAGAAAAUGGAAAAGCAAACUACGAAACAGCCAAUAAUCUUUAUUUUGCACUCCCCCCACCCUUUGUCUCCUCCAAAAAGCACUAAUGGGUAUGUAUACUUGUGCAUGUGAAAAUAUUGUAUAAAGUAUUCAGGAUGAUCUCUAAUAAAUC